AAAGUUGUCAAAUUAUUUUGAUUGGCUUUUAGAAAUUGUCCAAAAGAGGCUUUUAUUUUGAUUUGCUGUUCAAAAUUGCCGUGUAAUUUUUAUUUAAAAGUUAGUGCAGCAAUUUGUGUUUACAGUCCAAUUCCCCCAACAUAGGCUCCAGACAAUCACGUGACUAACAGUCCGGGUAGAUUCCAUUAACUCCUGUCUCCUCUCUUUGACCUUAUAUCUGUGUGACCUUGACCAGAGAAGUCAGAAUGACCUUAUGACCUUAGGUGAUAUACACCAUACUCAACACAUUUGAUUCUAUGCAACUCUGACCUCGCCUCUCUCUGACCUUACAUCAUUGUAUCUUUAACUUUAUUUUUGACCUGAGAUUAUGUAUGACCUUUUGACCCUAUUUGAUUUAAAUCAAGCAUGGCACAUAUGACCUCAUGCAUCAUGAAUGACCUCAGACAGCCACUCUGACUUUCUUUGUCUUGAAAAAAUUAAGAAAAAAGUUGGACUUUAAUGUAAGAAAGUACCGGGCUGCAUUUUAGAAAAGAACUAUUUGACUUGGUCUUAAAACAUCUCACAUAUCCUUUUGUUUUGUUUAAAAAUAAAGAAAAUUUGUUAAAUGAAACGGUGCCAGAUAUUAGAGCCUCAAUGUAUGUAGAUAUGGUAAACUUCGUUUGAUUCUGAUAUACUAUUUUUUAAUACUAUUGCAGAUGAGGUAAUCAUUUUUUUUAUUUAUUGGUUAAUUAACGUCUCUUUUAAAUGAAUCCGAUUUUCGUUAAAAGAUUGAGCAAGCAGUACUGUUCAGCAUAUAAAUCAUUAUAGUUCCAUCUUGCGACCUAACACGCGACAUCAGUUCGCUUUUUAACAGUAUGCCUUGGCGGCAAGAAUAAGAUACACAAUAAGUCUUAAUAAAUAAUAGACUUUAAAGGCUUAAGUAUACAUUGCAAUUUAUUCGACUUUUAGAUUAAUUAGUUAGUUAUAUUUUUUCUUUGACUUAAAUACUGGUGUAAAUGCAACAUGCCCAGGCAUCACGAUAAAACCGGAUAUGACGUAUUGCAAUGGUUAUUCCCAAGUCUGUAUCCAAGGGGUAUGUGAGGGAUCACUUUGUAAAAAGAUGAAAAUGAUACAUGCUAUGUUUCAGACGAUAAACAUAUUCCGCACGAGUUUAAAAUUGUUGUAGAUGAAGUGAAAAAUUAUUCAAGAUUGGAUGCUAAGAAAGAAAUCUCAGUAGCUGCAGGCACUCCUUGUGACAAUUAUCGCGGUUAUUGUGACGUAUUUCACAGAUGUCGUGGUGUCGACAAUGAGGGGCCCCUAGAAAGAUUGAAUAACCUGAUUUUUGGAGAAGAGACACUUUCGUCUAUCAAAGACUGGAUUAUUAUACACUGGUGGGGUGUAAUGCUGAUAGCCGUGGGAGCGGUGGUUGUAAUGGGUGUCUUCAUCAAAGUCUGCUCUGUAAACACUCCUAGUGAAAACCCCAAACACAAAAAGAUCAGAAAACAGAAUAAUAAAAAGAGAGGGCCCGUGAAGAACCCUGGACCCUAUUACAUCACUGAAUAAAACAACGCUUUGAUGACGAGUCCCGCCUGUCCGCCUACUCCAUCAUUCCUGUUCAUCAUUUAUGUUCACGUAGGCAAAAAGACAAGUUUCCUAUGUCUAUAAUAAUCAUUUUACAUGAAAAUUAGUUACUAAUUAAAAUUGUGCCGUAAGAAACAUUGAUGUGUGUUGUUAUACAUAAUCAUUGCUUAAUGAUAUGCUGUUUUAAAUGAAUGUUCAGUUCUUUAGAUUUUUCAAACACUUGUUGCUUUCAUGUCCUCUAUGUGGUCAUUUUCUGUGUCCAAUUGUCUGUUGUAAUUUUAAUGUGGAAUAAAUCAUUGAUGGUU
rnacentral:misc_RNA from 1 species